rnacentral:rRNA from 1 species
UACGGGGGGGAGCAAGCGUUGUUCGGAUUUACUGGGCGUAAAGGGCGCGUAGGCGGCCUCCGCAAGUCGACUGUGAAAUCUCCGGGCUUAACCCGGAAAGGUCAGCCGAAACUGCGGGGCUAGAGUGCAGAAGGGGCAACUGGAAUUCUCGGUGUAGCGGUGAAAUGCGUAGAUAUCGAGAGGAACACCUGCGGCGAAGGCGGGUUGCUGGGCUGACACUGACGCUCAUGCACGAAAGCGUGGGGAGCAAACAGG